rnacentral:misc_RNA from 1 species
GUAGGUGAACCUGCGGAGGGAUCAUUAACACGUAGUGUGCAACCCAAGGCGAAAGCCAAGGGGGAACACACUCGAAUACAAUACCCCACAACCCAAUCCAACGUGAACGUGACCCAACGCGCGACACAGCAUGGACGAUCGAACAAUCAUCAGGGUGGAGGGCAGGCUCGGCUCGGAGACGAGACGAGACUGCACUAUGACUCGAUCUAGAGGCCCUUCGAGGCUUCAAUCCGCCUGUGACGUGACUGAU